GCCGGGGCGAGGGGUGCCGGGUGGUUUCCGCCCGGCAGCCCGCAGCCCGCUGCGCCCCGGGCCGCGUCUCCCGGCGGUGGGAGGGGGCGGCCCCCACUCGGUUCCUGGCCCCUCGCGGCCCCGUCAGCCUCCCGCUCGGGGUGCGCCGCCCUUCGUCUGGGUCUCCGCCCCCAGGACCCGCGGCCGAGAGCUCCGGAGCGCGGCUUCCCCGGCCGGCUGCGCGAUGGGCUGCGGGAACUCCACCGCCACCAGCGCGGGCGCGGGCCAAGAACUGGCACCUUGUAAUUUACAGGAACUGUUAAAGGCCCUGCAGGAGCAGCCAAAGAUGUAACAGAAGAAUCCAUAACAGAAGAUGACAAGAGGAGAAACUAUGGAGGAGUAUAUGUUGGCCUACCAUCUGAAGCUGUCAAUAUGGUGUCCAGUCAAACAAAGAUGGUUCGGAAAAAUUAGAAGAAAAUAACAUCAUGACUCAAGAAUCAAGAGCUUGCUCAUCAGUUUGGAAGGAAUUUGGCUCCGUGGGACAUUGUAAUGUGCACAGACAUUUCCAAGGAAAUUCUAAACAGUCACCCUUCCCUUUUGCAUUCCCCCAAAUCUUAAGUGUAUACAUAAAACCCUGGGUACAUAUUGUUGUGGUAAUAGAAGGGAAUUGGUUAAACAGUACACUUGUUUAUGGAACUUUCUGUGGCCACCUACGAAAGACAAGUUAACAAACUGUCAUGGAGGCUGUUGUUGCCCAGCCAGGGCCGCUGCAUUUUGACAACAUUUCCACCCUGGCCACUCAGCACAUUUCAUGGAGGUCAUGUCUUUUCACUGAUACUUUUUUGAUAGUUUUUAUAUAACAAAAUCCUUAUUCUAUUUAUAACUUAGGAUGAUAAGGCACUAUAAAUUAAUGACCUAAAAUAAUAUAUUUGUCUGUUAACUUUCGCUAUUUCUACUUCACUUUAAUUUUU
rnacentral:lncRNA from 1 species